rnacentral:misc_RNA from 1 species
UGUGUAGAUGCAUGGUUACAGAGCGGUCUACAGGCGCCCUGGCUUUGCAAGUUCUAAUCCUUUUUCGCCUUGUAACUCCCUGUACCUUUCUAGAUUUCAACGAUUGUACCAGUUCUACUGUUUGUUUUCGUUUUCAUACACGCACACGUCUUUUUGACCAUUUCAUUUUCAUACAUACAUUUGUUUACAAGAUGCUUGCCACGCUGACAGAUAUCACCAAUGUGCAGGCGUCUCUCCCGCAACCUCCAAAGGGGAAGAUCGCGGCGGUAAACGUGGCGCAUGUAUCCCCUGCAACUGUUCGGCAAAGCGUUGCUCAACACAACCCGUACAAGUGGCAGUGCUUGCCUGCAGGCACUUACUCCGCUGCUGAAAUGAUGGCGGAUAUGGAAGAUGCUUGCACGCUGCCUGUGCAGGAACUGUUUCAGGAAAAAGAGGACCGCGCCCCUCCUCCUCCUGGCGGUCCAUCGGUCUGCAACACACUUGUGCAGUUCAAGUGCCACCAAGCUGAAUAUGUGUCAUCGAUGGUGGUCGAUAAAGGCCAAUACGUCGUGGUUCAGGGCGACCGAGGUAUCGAUAUUGGGGUUGUGAUCCGCAUCAACACAAACUCUCAAAAAACCUACGUGGAACGUACCGGCCCUGUCGGGAGUAUUUUGCGUCAUGCCACCCAACGCGAAGUGGACUACUGGGCGACCGAUCUGAAAGACGCUGAGGCGAUGGCCGCUGCCUUCUGUCAGGCAAAGGCACGCUCUCAUGGCCUGCCGAUGGAGAUUGCGUAUGCCGAGUACCAGUUUGACAAGAAGAAGCUGACGUUUUAUUACGAGGCACGGACACGGAUUGAUUUUGUGCAGCUUCUGAAAGAACUCUACCGCGAAUAUGGCUGCCGUAUCUGGAUGGAGAAACUUCGCAAUCACGACUAAGGUGAUUGGCAGCGCGGCUUAGCCCGUCGCAUCGUGAACGUUUUUUUAUUAUUGGUUCUUCUUUUCUGUUUGUGUUUGCGUGUUCCGACGCCUUUUUCUUUGUGCUUCUUAGCUUCGUUUUUGUGUGUUUGGCACCCUCCUUGCUCUUCGCUUUUAGGUAUGCACGCUGGCUUGUUCUUCAUGUGUAUGUAUAGAGGAAACAGGAAGCCGGAUACGGUCCAACCUUCUCUUGUGGAUCUCUUUAUCUCUGAGGUCGACCCUGCUGUACAUGUUUCCUGUUGUCCGGAAACAUACCUGUAGGUGCGACACUCAAGAUGAGUUCGUUGCAAAGUCGAAACGCAAGAAUAAUGCAACUUCACGGAGUUUGUGUUGACACUGCUGCUGCAACAGGGAACAGAAAGGGAAAAGCCGAAUGAUUUUUCGAUUGCACCAAAGUAUGUUUUCAAUGCUGGUGGAGCGGUAGCAGAGAACUUCGUGGUGCUUUCUCUCAGGAAAAUGCGUGCUUUUCCCUUCCUGUUUCUCUUUUUCCUCUUUCCUUUGUCUAUUUGUCUCGAUGCUUCAGUUUUUCUUGUUUGGGCCUUUUUUUCUUGUUGUGUUUCAUGCUGUAUUUUUUUUCUCUCUUCCUUUUGCCUAGCAUCCUCCAGUCAACCAUAUCAGACACCUAGUCGCUAUUUUCGCAAAAAAAUAUUCGGAGGGACGUUGGAGGGAUUUUGAACAAGGAAAGGCAGGUGUGUUUCUCUUCCUUUUUGUAUACCGGAUAGACUUCUACCGGAAGGGUUAGAUUUCGUCUUUGCUUCAUCUCGUUUUUUUUGCUUUUGGUUUCUGGGGGUCGAAUGAGAAGCAUGACACAC